UUUCCGUAGGUGAACCUGCGGAAGGAUCAUUAUUGUAUAACCGAGGUGCGAGGGCUGUCGCUGACCCGACAGGUCGUGCACGCCCGAGUGCCCUCACACACAUCCAUCUCACCCCUGUGUGCACCACCGCGUGGGUCCCCCUUUGGCUUGUUCGGAGGGGGGCUUACGUUUUCACACAAUCUUUGUAUGCAGUGUAGAAUGUAUUUUUUGUUUUUGCGAUCACGCAAUCAAUACAACUUUCAACAACGGAUCUCUUGGCUCUC
rnacentral:misc_RNA from 1 species